GAGUUUGAUCAUGGCUCAGAUUGAACGCUGGCGGCAUGCCUUACACAUGCAAGUCGAACGGCAGCACGGGAGCUUGCUCCUGGGUGGCGAGUGGCGAACGGGUGAGUAAUGCAUCGGAACGUAUCCUGGAGUGGGGGAUAACGUAGCGAAAGUUACGCUAAUACCGCAUAUUCUGUGAGCAGGAAAGCGGGGGACCUUCGGGCCUCGCGCUCUUGGAGCGGCCGAUGUCGGAUUAGCUAGUUGGUGAGGUAAAGGCUCACCAAGGUGACGAUCCGUAGCAGGUCUGAGAGGAUGAUCUGCCACACUGGAACUGAGACACGGUCCAGACUCCUACGGGAGGCAGCAGUGGGGAAUUUUGGACAAUGGGGGCAACCCUGAAUCCAGCCAUGCCGCGUGAGUGAAGAAGGCCUCGGUU
rnacentral:rRNA from 1 species